CUAUUUAUAGAUUGGCUAAUCGUUGACUACAUUAAUGUAACUAUUUAUAGUUUGGCAGCUGCAUCCCCUCCCUAUAUGAUUUACUACGCAGACUGGCGAGACUGCUGGACCAAUCUCAAAAAGACUGGUGAGUUGAAUAGAGGAUCUUCAAUGUUCUGGAGAGCAUGUCCAAGCCUGGAUCGACAUAAUCAGAUGUAUAACCCGCCCAUCGACUCAUACAGGAAAUAUGCCAGCUUCUAAAAGCGAGGGAUCAACAGACCAAAUAUACAAACAAACUUUUAAAUGUGAACUACACACCAAAUAUACAAAAUGACUGAGCUGGCCUAAUAGAAAAGUUCAAUAGUAAAAGUCUAUAUCUGAUACUACUGUUAAGAAAUAAAGGUAUUAUUGUACGGUAACUGCAACUCAGUAUUAACAAAGGGGGAAAACUCAGCAACCCUCACCUAGUAGACUGUGAUGAUAUAACCAUAUCAGAAAUUGUGAUGACUACAUAUUAAGAAAUGUAUAAAUGUUCAUGGAUUUCAUUUCUCAAACCGAGAUUUCAGAUGCCAAACGUUGAAGAUGUUAAAGAUCUGUUAAUAAUUUUAAACUGGUAUUUUGGUGCAGAAGUUUUGAAAUUUGCCAAGAACGGAAUAUUUUUUUUUUUGUGGUCAGUGAUCAUGACAGUUGCAAUUUUUUCUUGUAUUCAUUGAAGGAUCUGUGAAGUUAUUUUUGUAAAAUUGACACAUCAUUUCUUUUUCUUUUCUUUUUUUAUAUUUUUAUCAUUUGUCAACUGAACAAAUAAUUUUUCAUCCUAAACUAGUUAAAAGAUAGUUCAUUUACAGACUUUUUUUGUAAUUCAACCAAUUCAUGAAAUACCUGAUUUAAUUUUUGGUAAUGACAGAUCUUCUUAUCAGUUUAAUUUUUUACUUAAAAGAGGUGCCCAGGGGUCAAAUGAGACAGUUUUUGUUAUAUUUUGAAAUGAAGAGAAUGUGAAAUGCAUAAUAUUUUUUUGUAGAAUACUGCUAGUUUUACAUUAAGAAUUACUGACCCUGCAUGAAGUGUCCAAAAUUUGUAAAUCACUUACCAAUUAUUUUGUAAAAUUUUCAUCUUCAACCAUAUCUCAAAAUUUGCUUAAUUUUCUUGUUCAUUGCCUCUCCUAUUAUAAAAUAGUUGCAGGAAAAAUAUGUUUUACUUAGCUGAGAAUUAAUGUCUUUGAGGGUUAAUACUUUUUUGUAUAUGUGCUUUCAUGUUUCUUAAACACAUAGUAUACAAUAUGUUCCUUCACCUUUUUUUCUGUUUUUAGAUAGUAUACAAUAUUUACUUGCUAUUUAGUUAAGUUAGAUAGUAUUUUAUUUCCUAUACAAGAUACAACUGUAUUUAUAGAUAGUUUAUCUUUAAACCAUGAACAGUAUUGGAACAUUUACUGUAGAUCACUAAACUUUCGCGACACCUUAUUUUCGCGAGAUAGUCAUUGACUCUUGAUUAGUGAGACAAAAAUUUCGCGAAUUGUGGUUAUUUCUCUAUAUAAUCUUAAGGAAUAUUAUUAUACACGAGAAUCAAAUUUUCGCGAGCACACUGUCUCGCGUAAUUACGCGAAAAUAAAGUUCUCGCGAAUAAAAAGUGAUUUACAGUAAUUAGCAUCAAGUGAUGAUAUAUGAAAAAUGAGGAAAAUCAUGCACUUAUGAAAGAUUUAUACAAAAUUUUAUCCACAAAGUGAAUGGGAUAGGGCAGUAGGCAAAACAUAUUUCAGCCCUCUCCCUAAGAAAUGAAUGAUACACUAGAAGUCAUUAAAUUUGAAAUAAUUUCCUUACUUUUGUAAAAUCAUCAUUAGAUCUUUCGUUGCUGAUAUACCAUAUAAGUAGAAUUUUUAGCGAGGAUUUAAUUUUGGCAUUAUUAGCGAGAGUGUCGAGAUCGCUUAAAUUGAAUCUCGCGAAAAAUUAAUUGCGUUUUAUUUGUAAUAGCUUCUUUAAUAUACAUUUUUAGAUCGCAAAAAUAACAUCUCGCUAAAAAUAAAAUACCAGGUUUUAAGGACAAAUUGCUAAAUUUGCGUCUUGCUAAAAUUUCUACUUAUACGGUAGUAGUUGAAUUAAGUAAUACAGUGUUUAAUAUUUUGUUACAUUUAAGAUUUUAUCACAGAAAAAAAUUAGGUGUAGUUUUGCAGGAAUAUUUGAAAAAUUAAAAAAAGGUCAUCUAAAUUACCAAAUUGAUAUACUUGUACAUGUAGCAUAAAUACAUUUAAAAAUGGUUAACAUUCAAUCAUAUAGACCAUGAUAUGUACAUAUGUAACUAUGUACUUAAAUAAGAAAUAAAUUUUAAUCCAGAAUCA